GCGAAGCGAGAGAACGUUGCGUCAGCAACAGCCCGCAGGGCGAGCCACGCAGUGGCGAGUCAUCCUCUAUCACCGACAG
rnacentral:sRNA from 1 species